rnacentral:rRNA from 1 species
UACGUAGGGUGCGAGCGUUGUCCGGAAUUAUUGGGCGUAAAGGGCUCGUAGGCGGUUUGUCGCGUCGGGAGUGAAAAUCCAGGGCUUAACUCUGGACUGGCUUCCGAUACGGGCAGACUAGAGGUAUGCAGGGGAGAACGGAAUUCCAGGUGUAGCGGUGAAAUGCGUAGAUAUCUGGAGGAACACCGGUGGCGAAGGCGGCAUCCUGGACCAACACUGACGCUGAGGAGCGAAAGCCAGGGGAGCAAACGGG